GACGAACCACACAAACGUUAUUCGGAAUUACUGGGCUUAAAGGGUGCGUAGGCGGCGCGGUGAGUUGGGUGUGAAAUCCCUCGGCUCAACCGAGGAAUUGCGCUUGAUACUGCCGUGCUCGAGGGAGACAGAGGUGAGCGGAACUUAGGGUGGAGCGGUGAAAUGCGUUGAUAUCCUAAGGAACACCAGUGGCGAAAGCGGCUCACUGGGUCUCUUCUGACGCUGAGGCACGAAAGCUAGGGGCGCGAACGGG
rnacentral:rRNA from 1 species